rnacentral:rRNA from 1 species
CACGUAGGAGGCAAGCGUUAUUCGGAUUUACUGGGCGUAAAGCGCGUGCAGGCGGUUCGGAAAGUUGGAUGUGAAAGCUCCUGGCUUAACUGGGAGAGGUCGUUCAAUACUUCCGGACUUGAGAGUGGGAGAGGGAGGUGGAAUUCCGGGUGUAGUGGUGAAAUGCGUAGAUAUCCGGAGGAACACCAGUGGCGAAAGCGGCCUCCUGGCCCAUUUCUGACGCUCAGACGCGAAAGCUAGGGUAGCAAACGGG